GGUCCCGUAGCUCAGCUGGAUAGAGCAGCUGCCUUCUAAGCAGUAGGUCGGGGGUUCGAAUCCUCCCGGGGCCGCCA
rnacentral:tRNA from 1 species